rnacentral:tRNA from 1 species
AUGCUAUUAGGGCUAAUACUCCCCCUAGUUUAUUAGGGAUAGAUCGUAAGAUAGCAUA